rnacentral:rRNA from 1 species
UACGUAGGGUGCAAGCGUUAAUCGGAAUUACUGGGCGUAAAGCGUGCGCAGGCGGUUAUGCAAGACAGAGGUGAAAUCCCCGGGCUCAACCUGGGAACUGCAUUUGUGACUGUAUAGCUAGAGUACGGCAGAGGGGGAUGGAAUUCCGCGUGUAGCAGUGAAAUGCGUAGAUAUGCGGAGGAACACCGAUGGCGAAGGCAAUCCCCUGGGCCUGUACUGACGCUCAUGCACGAAAGCGUGGGGAGCAAACAGG